UGGCGAUGAGGAGAUAACCUACUAUGUUGAAUUAUGGUGAUAAUUUUAUACGCUAUUCUGAGCCAGCU
rnacentral:snoRNA from 12 species